rnacentral:lncRNA from 1 species
GUCUUGCCUCAGCCUUACCCUUCUUGCUGCUGCUUCUGUUGGGUUUCAGAGGGCUUGCAGACUUCUGCAAUGACUUCAUCUAUAUUACUUUAUAGUAAUUUAUCUUAGUCCAGGUGCAGUGCCUCACACCUGUAAUCCCAGCACUUUGGAAGGCUGAGCUGGGAGGAUUGCUUGAGGCUGGCAGUUCAAGACUUCUUCCAUUUUAAGGGGCCUUGUGAUUACAGCUGGUCCAUCUGGAUAUUCUAAGAUAUUCUCCCUAUUUUAAGGUCAGUCAGUUGACAACAUUAAUUCCAUUUUCAACCUUAAUUCUCCUUUGUCAUGUAACACAACAUAUUGACAAGUUCAGGGGAUUAGAACAUGAACAUCUCCGGGGGACCAUUAUCCUGCCUGUGACAGAAGGAAGAUGAAUAAGAAGAGGGAGCCUCUUCCAGGAAGAUAAAUGCCGAAAAAGCUACCUUUUCUCCAUCUGGGGACGGAUGAUACCAAAAUGAUGCCCCCUUCCAGGCUGAUAAGGUUUGGCUGGGUCCCCACCCAAAUCUCAUCUUGAAUUCCCACAUAUUGUGGGAGAGACCCAGUGGGAGGUAAUUGAAUCAUGGGGGCAGGUCUUUCUCUGCUAUUCUCAUGAUAGUGAAGAAGUCUCAUGAGAUCUGAUGAUUUUAUAAGGCGGAGUUUCCCUGCACAAUUUCUCUCUUUGCCUGCUCCCAUCCAUGUGAGAUGUGACUUGCUCCUCCUUGCCUUCCGCCAAUGAUUGUGAGGCCUUCCCAGCCACGUGGAACUAUGAGUCAAUUAAAC